UGCCUCUCAGGAUCGCUCCUGGAGAGUUUCCAGUACUCUGUCGGUCUCGACUAUGUGAGGGAGUCAGGCAGAGGCAUAGCCAUUCCAUUCCUAGCUUGGGCAGUGGCUAGAGGGUGGAAGGCAAUCUGCUACGAGU